CAAUAAUGUUCAGCAAAGUAAGAUUUACAAAUAAGUCAACAUGACUGAAAUGGUCAGUUGACCCCUUUAGGAGUUAUUGCCCUUUAUAGUCAAUUUUUAACCAUUUUUCGUAAAUCUUAGUAAUAUUUUACAAAAAUCUUCUCCUCUGAAACUACUGGGCCAAAUUAAUCCAAACUUGGCCACAAUCAUCUUUUAGGUUAGUAGUUUGAAAAAUGUGUCCGGUGAUCCGGCCAUCAAACCAAGAUGGCCGCCAUGGCUAAAAAUAGAACAUGGGGUAAAAUGCAGUUUUUGGCUUAUAACUCAAAACCCAAAGCAUUUAGAGCAAAUCUGACAUGGGG
rnacentral:lncRNA from 1 species